rnacentral:rRNA from 1 species
AAGAGUUUGAUCCUGGCUCAGGAUUAACGCUGGCGGCGUGCCUAAUACAUGCAAGUCGAACGGAAACCUUCGGGUUUUAGUGGCGAACGGGUGAGUAACACGUAAGCAACCUACCCUAAAGACGAGGAUAACCAUUGGAAACAGUGGCUAAGACUGGAUAGGAAGAUAAAAGGCAUCUUGUAUCUUUUAAAAGACCUAGUUAAUGGGUAUGCUUUAGGAGGGGCUUGCGCCAUAUUAGUUAGUUGGUAGGGUAAUGGCCUACCAAGACGAUGAUGUGUAGCUGGACUGAGAGGUUGAACAGCCACAUUGGGACUGAGACACGGCCCAAACUCCUACGGGAGGCAGCAGUAGGGAAUUUUCGGCAAUGGAGGAAACUCUGACCGAGCAACGCCGCGUGAAUGACGAAGUACUUCGGUAUGUAAAGUUCUUUUAUCGAGGAAGAAAAGUAAAUGGCGAACCAUUUGUUUGCCGGUACUUGAUGAAUAAGCCCCGGCUAAUUAUGUGCCAGCAGCCGCGGUAAGACAUAAGGGGCAAGUGUUAUCCGGAAUUAUUGGGCGUAAAGGGUGCGUAGGCGGUCUAGUAAGUCAGUGGUGUAAUGGCAACGCUUAACGUUGUCCGGCUAUUGAAACUGCUAAACUUGAGUUAGAUAGAGGCGAGUGGAAUUCCAUGUGUAGCGGUAAAAUGCGUAAAUAUAUGGAGGAACACCAGAGGCGUGGGCGGCUCGCUGGGUCUUAACUGACGCUGAGGCACGAAAGCGUGGGGAGCAAACAGGAUUAGAUACCCUGGUAGUCCACGCCGUAAACGAUGAGUACUAAGUGUCGGGUUAAACCGGUACUGAAGUUAACACAUUAAGUACUCCGCCUGAGUAGUACGUACGCAAGUAUGAAACUUAAAGGAAUUGACGGGACUCCGCACAAGCGGUGGAUCAUGUUGUUUAAUUCGAAGAUACCCGAAAAACCUUACCAGGUCUUGACAUGUUUUUGCAAAAUGAUAGUAAUAUCGUGGAGGUUACCAGAAACACAGGUGGUGCAUGGUUGUCGUCAGCUCGUGUCGUGAGAUGUUAGGUUAAGUCCUAAAACGAGCGAAACCCUUAUCGUUAGUUGCCAGCACGUUAUGGUGGGGACUUUAACGAGACUGCCAAUGAUAAAUUGGAGGAAGGUGAGGAUCACGUCAAAUCAGCAUGCCCCUUAUGACCUGGGCUACAAACGUGAUACAAUGGCUGUUACAAAGGGUAGCUGAAACGCAAGUUCUUGGCCAAUCCCCAAAAACAGUCCCAGUCCGGAUUGAAGUCUGCAACUCGACUUCAUGAAGUUGGAAUCGCCAGUAAUCGCGAAUCAGCAUGUCGCGGUGAAUACGUUCUCGGGGUUUGUACACACCGCCCGUCAAACCACGAAAGUUGGCAAUACCCCAAAACGGUAGCCUAACUCGUUUAUUCGAGAGGGCGCCGUCUAAGGUAGGGUCGAUGAUUGGGGUUAAGUCGUAACAAGGUAUCCCUACCGGAAGGUGGGGAUGGAUCACCUCCUUUCUAAGGAAACCAAUAAAAUCAAUCAUCUUCAGUUUUGAAAGACUUAGGCAACUAAGUUUUUCUUCGUGACUUCACGAAGGGCCUAUAGCUCAGUUGGUUAGAGCACACGCCUGAUAAGCGUGAGGUCGGUGGUUCAAGUCCAUUUAGGCCCACCAGAGUUAUAGGUUUCGUAAGAACACAAAUUCUUUGAAAAUUAGGUAAAUAAUAGUUAUUUAUCCGGAACAUUAAAGGAAAUAAGAGCGCACAGUGGAUGCCUAGGCACCAAGAGCCGAUGAAGGACG